UUUGAUUGAAGUUUUCGGAUAAUUUCAAGAUACCGAGUGGCGGACGGGUGAGUAACGCGUGGGUAACCUGCCUCAUACAGGGGGAUAACGGUUAGAAAUGACUGCUAAUACCGCAUAAGCGCACAGUACCGCAUGGUACGGUGUGAAAAACUCCGGUGGUAUGAGAUGGACCCGCGUCUGGUUAGCUGGUUGGUGGGGUAACGGCCCACCAAGGCGACGAUCAGUAGCCGACCUGAGAGGGUGACCGGCCACAUUGGGACUGAGACACGGCCCAGACUCCUACGGGAGGCAGCAGUGGGGGAUAUUGCACAAUGGAGGAAACUCUGAUGCAGCGACGCCGCGUGAGUGAAGAAGUAUUUCGGUAUGUAAAGCUCUAUCAGCAGGGAAGAAAAUGACGGUACCUGACUAAGAAGCCCCGGCUAACUACGUGCCAGCAGCCGCGGUAAUACGUAGGGGGCAAGCGUUAUCCGGAUUUACUGGGUGUAAAGGGAGCGUAGACGGCGACGCAAGUCUGAAGUGAAAUACCCGGGCUCAACCUGGGAACUGCUUUGGAAACUGUGUUGCUGGAGUGCUGGAGAGGUAAGCGGAAUUCCUAGUGUAGCGGUGAAAUGCGUAGAUAUUAGGAAGAACACCAGUGGCGAAGGCGGCUUACUGGACAGUAACUGACGUUGAGGCUCGAAAGCGUGGGGAGCAAACAGGAUUAGAUACCC
rnacentral:rRNA from 1 species